GUGGGGAAUUUUGGACAAUGGGCGCAAGCCUGAUCCAGCAAUGCCGCGUGCAGGAAGAAGGCCUUCGGGUUGUAAACUGCUUUUGUACGGAACGAAACGGUCCGGGUUAAUACCCUGGGCUAAUGACGGUACCGUAAGAAUAAGCACCGGCUAACUACGUGCCAGCAGCCGCGGUAAUACGUAGGGUGCAAGCGUUAAUCGGAAUUACUGGGCGUAAAGCGUGCGCAGGCGGUUUUGUAAGACAGGCGUGAAAUCCCCGGGCUCAACCUGGGAAUUGCGCUUGUGACUGCAUGGCUAGAGUGCGUCAGAGGGGGGUGGAAUUCCGCGUGUAGCAGUGAAAUGCGUAGAGAUGCGGAGGAACACCGAUGGCGAAGGCAGCCCCCUGGGAUGACACUGACGCUCAUGCACGAAAGCGUGGGGAGCAAACAGGAUUAGAAACCCGGGUAGUCC
rnacentral:rRNA from 1 species